UACAGAGGGUGCAAGCGUUGUUCGGAAUUAUUGGGCGUAAAGCGCGUGUAGGCGGCUUGGCAAGUCGGGUGUGAAAUCCCUCAGCUCAACUGAGGAAGUGCGCCCGAAACUGCUUAUCUUGAGUGCCGGAGAGGAUGGCGGAAUUCCCCAAGUAGAGGUGAAAUUCGUAGAUAUGGGGAGGAACACCGGUGGCGAAGGCGGCCAUCUGGACGGUAACUGACGCUGAGACGCGAAAGCGUGGGUAGCAAACAGG
rnacentral:rRNA from 1 species